rnacentral:rRNA from 1 species
CCUACGGGAGGCAGCAGUGGGGAAUAUUGGACAAUGGGCGAAAGCCUGAUCCAGCCAUGCCGCGUGUGUGAAGAAGGCCUUCGGGUUGUAAAGCACUUUCAGUGGGGAAGAAAGCCUUGGGGCUAAUACCCUCGAGGAAGGACAUCACCCACAGAAGAAGCACCGGCUAACUCCGUGCCAGCAGCCGCGGUAAUACGGAGGGUGCGAGCGUUAAUCGGAAUUACUGGGCGUAAAGCGCGCGUAGGCGGUCUGAUAAGCCGGUGUGAAAGCCCCGGGCUCAACCUGGGAACGGCAUCCGGAAAUGUCAGGCUAGAGUGCAGGAGAGGAAGGUAGAAUCCCCGGUGUAGCGGUGAAAUGCGUAGAGAUCGGGAGGAAUGCCAGUGGCGAAGGCGGCCUUCUGGACUGACACUGACGCUGAGGUGCGAAAGCGUGGGUAGCAAACAGGAGUAGAUACCCCAGUAGUC